rnacentral:rRNA from 1 species
UAAUACGAAGGGGCUAGCGUUGUUCGGAAUUACUGGGCGUAAAGCGCACGCAGGCGGUUUGUUAAGUCAGAUGUGAAAUCCCCGGGCUCAACCUGGGAACUGCAUUUGAAACUGGCAAGCUAGAGUCUCGUAGAGGGGGUAGAAUUCCAGGUGUAGCGGUGAAAUGCGUAGAGAUCUGGAGGAAUACCGGUGGCGAAGGCGGCCCCCUGGACGAAGACUGACGCUCAGGUGCGAAAGCGUGGGGAGCAAACAGGAUUAGAUACCCUGGUAGUCCACGCUGUAAACGAUGUCGAUUUGGAGGUUGUGCCCUUGAGGCGUGGCUUCCGGAGCUAACGCGUUAAAUCGACCGCCUGGGGAGUACGGCCGCAAGGUU